CGUUGAGACUGGCUGCCUUGCUGUCUGUCCCUGGACUGACUCUACCAUUCCUUGACCUCCAGCCAUCUGCUGGAGAGAACCGCCAGACAAAGAAAAUGUCUGCUCUUUGGCAAAGAGAAGUCACGUGGCAUUGGAGAGGCCAGAAAAGGAAGGAAUGGCUAGCCAUAACCCAUCCUUGGAAAUUCUAUCACUGGUAGUUCUAUCUAACAGCCUUACCACAUGAAGACUUGCUCAGCCUCCUGGCAGAAGGUUAUCAACUGUAUGUUAGGUAAAAUACACCUACCACUGAUGAGUUUCAGGAAGGAGAAACACAGACGCCAGAUCAACGAUGGAAAAAGAGUUCUAUAACUGAGAUAUGAACAGGAGUAAAAGAAGAUAGCCAAAAAAUAAUCUGGAACAAAUAAAGGUUUACCUUUGUUGUCUUUAAAAUUUUGCAUGACUUCAAAUACUCUGUGUUACUCACUGAAAAUAAACAAUCUAAUUCUGUCUU